CAUGUCAAAAAUUUUACAAACAUUUUAUUAAUUUAUUGUUUGUGUGGAUUUUUUAAGCGCACCGAAGCGCACCAAACUUGACUACACGAAGAGCAGAGACUUGUAACGACCACUGCUGCUGCUGAAUGUCGGCUGAUCCAGACUGACUGGAUACCAUUUCAGCCACAUGUGCAAGAAUGACAGACAAAAUGUACUUGGAGGGCUUCGCCGUGUUUACAGCCGGCCUUGUCCUGGGCGCUUUGGCCAGCCAGCGCUACAACCUGCCCAAGUUGCGUGCCCUGAAGAAAACAGUGGAGAGGCUGAAAGAAAUUGAACGCAAACACAGGAGAGCUCCGUCAUCCUCAGAGCAGUAGCCCUGUGGUCCAGACAUUCAAUGUCUAGUUAUCUAGACUUAGGCCUGGGUGAAACUCAACAUUCAAGCUUACUGUAGUCACAUGUAACAAGCAACAGCGGUGGCCAGUAACAAGGAUAGCAUCUAACAAGUAACAGCGGUAACAUGUAACAAGUAACAGCGCUAACAAGUAACAAAUGGUGACUGAUGUAGCAUGUAACAGUGUAACAGUGGUAGCUAGUAACAAGGAUAACAUGUCACAACAGCGGCAACGUAACA